GAACACAGUAAAUAGACAUCAAGGUAUAAUUUAAAUAUUUGAUAUAAUAGACGAGCGUUUACAUAUUAUUGAAAACGAACAAAGAAACAAUUCGACGAAUUAUAACACACUAUUUAAAAUUGCUGUUACAUGAAUAAGAUGAAACUUGCAAAACUCGUUUUUUUCAAAAGUGAAAUGGAAAGUUUGUUUCUUAACUUUGAAUAAAUCUAAGUUGAAUUGCAAAUUCUAACAAGCAAAAUUUUAAUGAAAGAGUAACAAGAACGCAUUGACUCUGUUAACAACUCACAUGAUUUCCAAGGAAAAAGGUUGUUUGGUGUAUAGCAAUGGAAAACCAAUUACAAUUUACUCAAUGGUUCUAUCUUUCAAGGAAAAAUAUCUUUUAGACACAACGUUAACUAUUUUUAAUUUCUUUCUUUAAACCAGAAUUCACUUUCUCAAAAAUUGAUUCCAUUUUAUGCAUUCCUGUUAUUUUUGCAUUUCAAUUGUAAAAAGUGAAUAGAAACAUUUCUUCCUGAUUUUUUUUGUAGGAAUUAAUAAUCUGUCUUGUUUUUUUGAAAAGAAUUUCUGAUUCUUUUAAAACAAUUUUACCUUUUUCUUGUAAAAGAAUCGAAAACCAUUUUCUAACCAUAAAAACUCUUCAAUUAUUUUUUAUUAAAAGCCACUAAGAGGAUUUAGAAUAGUGCAAAAUCGUUUAAGUUUAGUCCUUUUAGAUGUUUUACCACUUUCUAGGCUAAAGUAAUAGUUUGUGUAACUGUAUGGUCUAAGAUAAAAUCAAAUAUGUACUGAUCAAUCAUAAAUCUACAAACUAGUCAACUUCAAAGCACUUUUAGUUCAAAACACAGUAUCUACUUCUUUUAAUAAUAACCACAGGGUUUACACAUAACUCAUUUGUAAAGUACACGCAUUUUUGUAUAAUGAUCGUUAAUAUUAAUAACAAAUUGCAUUUUCUAGCAUAACAUAACAACGGAGAUCAAGGCAACCUGGGGCAAACAGAUGCUUCUGGGCAGUUCAGGGAGCUCUCACGAAGGUCAAAGCUCACAAUUUACAAGACACGCAGUCAAAUAAGGAUGACGACGACAAGUGAGCGGAGAUCCUAGGAAAGAUUUUUGGUCCAUGCACAGCCAUGUAUGGAGUUCCUGGAGGACGGCGACUGAGAGGAAGACUGCGCCAUCGGUGGUUGGAAGACAAUGAAGCAGAUCUGAUUCCGCAAUGACAUUGGAGGCACCAUGCUCAGGAUAGAAGUUUCGGCAGUCGAUUGUUGAGAAGGCCCUGGUUCUCAAAAGACCGUAGCGCCGGUUGAAGAAAGAAGAUCUUCUAGCAGUGGAGCUCGAGCCCUCAAACAUGAGAAGCAAAAUAUUUUUGUAGUGUUGUUAUAAACCUGAAGAUGCGUUUACACCUACCAAAUAGAUUUAAAAAAGGAACGGCUUUGGAGGGAUUUGUAUGUUAAUGUGAUGUCAUUAGUAAAGAAUGUCAUGUCAACGAGUCAAAUGGAAACAAAAUGCUUUUAAUACGAUUUAUUUAAUGCAAAAUGAAAAAUUAAACUUCCAACAGGAUAAUCACAUGACAAAACUCAUGGGAUUUCGAAGUUGUAUAUGAUAUGAAUUUGAGACUUUAUAACGCCCUAUGUGAGUGAGAGAAUUAAAAAAUACCUACUAAUGAGAAUGACAAAAAAAUAUGGAACUUUCGGAAGCUAUAUGUGAUAAAAACAUUAUGGGGAGUCAAGAGGUACCAACUGUUAAGAAUGACUGAAAAUUUUGAACUAUCGAAGGCUAUAUGCGAUAAAAAAAACAUUACAGAGGAGCAAAAAUUACCAUGACAAAAACUAAAACUUUCGAGACUUUCGAAUGCUGGAUUUAAUUAAGAAACAUUAUAGGGAGUUGAAAAGUACCAACUAAUGAGAUUGAUCAAAAAUUUGGAACUUUCGAAAACUAUAUGUGAUUAAAAAACAUUAUGGGAAGUCAAAAGCUACCAAUUAAUGAGAUUGAUAAAAAAUUUGGAACUUUCAAAAGCUUUAUGUGCUAUAAAAACAUUAUGGGAAGUCAAAAAGUACCAACUAAUGAGAAUGACUGAAAAUUUUGAACUUUUAAAAGCUAUAUAUGAUUAAAAAACAUCAUAGGACGUGAUAUGGUUCUAGCCAAUGACAAAUACUAAAAAUUUGAGACUUUCGAAAGCUGGAUUUAAUUAAGAAACAUUAUGGGAAGUCAAAAACUACCAAUUAAUGAGAAUAACUAAAAAUUUGUAACCAUAUGUGGUUAAGUUAGGUUACGAAAGCUAUAUGUGACUAAAAAAGAUAACAAUGACGAAAACUAAAAGUUUGAGACUUUAAAAAGCUAUAUAUGAUUGAAUGACUAAAAAUUUGUAACUAUAUGUGGUUGAAAAACAUUAUGGAAAAUCAAAAGGCACUAAUCAUUGACAGAAACUUAAAAUUUGGUUCUUUAGAAAGCUGCACGUGAUUAUUCACAAUACGGGAAGCAAAGAUCUACCAAAUAUCAACCAAGAUUCAAAUCGUAGACAUAUAAAAGUAAUUUAAUAAACUGAAGAAUGCA